GGAAAGAUUGUUAAUGCCUGAAUCUGCUUUUCGCUUGCUUGGGGCUUUCAAACAAAGUGGUUACAUCUCUAAACUCCUUUCCUCACCUGUGAAAAGGAGGUGGGAGGUGCCUCUUGUGAUAAUUACAUGGAAUAACACGCAGAAUGUGCUUCUAGCUCUUCCUGAGGAAGAAAGCCCUCAACAUUCUGAACUGAGAGCCGAUUUCUGCUUCUCUCCAGUCCCAAAUAUUGCAGGAGUGAGAAGAUAUGGAUGUCUCCACUGUAUUGUGGUUGGGUGAAUUUCCAGCUCCACACCUGUGUCCACACAAGGCUUUCUGAAGGGGAGCAAAGGAUUCUGCCUUCUCCACUUUUGGGUGGCUUCCAUCACUGCCUGUAACUAAAGGCCAGAUGCCAGUCCUGACUGGAGCCAUUGCUGCAUUCAGCCUGUGACAUUUGAUGUGAGCUCUCCAUGUUGUCUGCCUGGAAGCUUACUCUCUAUAGAAAAUCACCCCACACUCCUUCCCUGUGUUUAGCUAGUACUUAGACUCUAGGGCCUGACCUGCCCUAGUAGUUGAGCAGAUUAGGCAGCGGUGAAAUAUAGCCUGAGCCCCUGGUCCCACAGCCCGGAGGAUGAACAGCCUUUUGAAUGUAUUUGCCCAGAAAAUGUGCUUCCUUGUACUCUCUGUCCCAUAGAGAGGACCUUUUAUUUUUGUUAUUAUUUAUGCAAGGAAUUGGCAGGGCCUUCCUCCCUAGGGAAGCACCAAGACAGAAAUGAAAAAAAAAAAAAAAUUUAAGGAGUUCCUGCUAUGGUGCAGUGCAACUGUCAGCUCUCUGCAGGGCCAGGACCCAGGUUCGAUCCUGGCAUAGGCAUAGUGGGUUAAAGGAUCCUGUGUUGCCUGAGCUGUGGCAUAGGUCGCCACUGCUGCUUGGAUCUGAUUCCUUGUCUGGGAACUCCAUAUUCUGCAGGGCAGCCAAAAGAGAAAAUAAAAAUAAUGUGAAAACGUUAAGCCUUUAGUUACUUUCUGUGAUACAGCGGUAGGAUGGAGAAGAAGCCUAUUUCCCUCUUCCAUUUCUUCCCACAGAGCUGGACAACUUACAGGGUUGGGGAUCAGA
rnacentral:lncRNA from 1 species